rnacentral:lncRNA from 1 species
CACAUUUUUAUUAUUUUGCCGGACUCUUUAUUUAGGAUACUGAGCAAUAUUAUACAUAUCCAGAGGUGUUAAAGUAUAAAUAUUCCAGAUUAUGUCUGCUGCUACUUGGUUUAAUUUCUUUGAUUAAUUUGUCCAGAUAUAUGUAUUAAUAAUGUAUGCUUUCAAACAUGACAGCUACAACAUUUAGAGCAGGAUCUGCUUACCCUUCUAGAGCACUCUAGAUCACCCCAUGUUAAUGUAAGUUUUGUGUUGCUCUGUCACAGUCUUAAGUUUCUAUGUUGUGUUUUGUAGACUGUUGUUUGUCUUUUUCUCUUUUCAAACUUUAAAUGUUGUUGUUCUGUAUAAUAAAUAAUUGAGAGCAGGCUGUAUUAUAAAAUUCAAAGUCAUGAUGCAUACUUUCUCAAUAAAGCUUUCAUGACGUCUUACUGAUUAAUAUUUAUUUAUUUGUUGAAACUUGUUAAGCUAAGAAACAUAUGGGC